rnacentral:lncRNA from 1 species
GGGAGUGUUUGAAAUGUUACUACUGACUUAUAUUGUAUUGACAGGUUUGUUGUGAAUUGUUGAUUCUUGAAUAAUUGUUAGUGUGGGGUUACUUUGAUUGAAAUUGAUGUAAAUGCUGUAAGCAGAUCUGAGCUGACUAAUUGCAGGGAGAAAUCUUAAUUUGAUGUGUGGGUUUUAUGAUAACAUUGCUGGUUGUGUAUUAACUUUGGUGUGAAUUUUGUGCAUGUAUAGCUGAACGAUUUUGAGAUUUAGUUGAGCAGGUAACAGUGAACAAUUUUCACAUGGAAAUUUUGAAAUUGAAGUUUUGAAUUGAUGGAAAUCAUGUAACUGCGGGCAACAAAUUUUCAGUUCGAAAAAUUAAGGGAGUUAUCUUACUUACCUUGUUGUGAAUUGUUGCUUUUGAUUUAGCUUAUAAGUGAUAGUAUUGAACGGAUAUUGAACGGAUACCCUGCUGAUUGUAGUUUAAAUAUCUGUGCAGCUUUGGUUGAUGAGAAUUGAACAUCUAGUACAGCUGAAUGCAAUUUGAGAGCAAAUAGGAGUUUCUGCUAGACUCAUCUACAUUGAACCGAGAAAGGGAGGACUCAUUACUGUGAAAAUUUCCUCUUCUAAGAUGACUAGUUAACAGUUUACUGAUCCAGCUUUGUGAUCUGUGAUUGUAGGAUUGGCCAGGAGAUUCAAAAGCACUGACUACAGAAGCAACAGUGGCGCAUGAGAUACCUAGAGGCAACAGAAGCAACGUCUUUGGGCUGGAC